rnacentral:rRNA from 1 species
GCCUGAUGAGCUCGAGAUUGCAACAGUUCUGUUUGAAAAGUGGUCAACUUGGUCAUUUAGAGGAAGUAAAGUCGUAACAAGGUUUCCGUAGGUGAACCUGCGGAAGGAUCAUUA